rnacentral:rRNA from 1 species
UUACGUUGUUAUCCCUAAGGUAAUUUAAUCUUAUAAUCAAAAUAAAUGGAUCAAAAAAAUAUACAUAAAUAUAUAAAAACAAAGAGGAGUUAAAUAUUAUUCCUCCCAUCACCCCAACAAAACAGCUAUUCCCACUCAAUGCAACAAAAACAAACAAUAAAUAAGCGGAAACCCUGUCAAACUCUAUAGGGUCUUCUCGUCCCAUAAAAACAUUUAAGAAUUUUAACUCAAAAACCAAAUUCAACAAACCAAUACCUUUAAGACAGCUUAUAUCUCGUCAAGCCAUUCAUACCAGAUCACAAUUAAAGAACUAAUGAUUAUGCUACCUUUGCACGGUCAAAAUACCGCGGCCCUUCAACUCUAAGUCAGUGGGCAGGCCAUACUUCAAAAACUAACAAGAAAAGAUGUUUUUGAUAAACAGGCG